AGUAUACAGAGGAAAUGUACACAUGUCCGUCCUUGUUUUCUUUCCCUUUGGGGCUUGUGUUAUGUAGAUGGGAUAAACAAAGUUGCUAGGGUGUUACCAUAAGAGGAAAUGUUGGUAGGCUCAGCAGUAGAGUUGUAAUAAGGCCGGCCCACAGCCCACUAGUAAGUGAUUCCAAAGAGUAGGCCUAGCGGUCUUGCUAUCUUGCCUCGUUCCUCCAGCCAAUUCGUAUUUGAUUCUAAAGAAAAAGGCAAUUCAUAUUUUCCCCUAAAAAAAGCAAUUCAUAUUUGGCGCUUCAGGCGCCACUUAUAGGCAUCUUUGCAAAUGACGCAUACCAUCCUAGCACACACAUGCCUAGGAAUUGGGCCGUCCUGUUUAAUUUAUUUUCUUUUGCACUGCAUACUUAUUGCGCGCGCAUUGAUGGAACCACUGCCACAUAAAAUGUUGUGACAGUCCUGGUCACUCUUUGGCGAUUUGGUAUGCUGGAAGGCCAUUCAUGGACAAAAUUUCCAAAGUUCUCAUGCAACACCAGUUUAUCACACGUUACUUCACUAAAUUUGAAGCUUCUCAUACGAAACAACAGAACCGGCGACCGACAGCUAUGCGGUAGGGACUUUUUUUUUUGAAAAGGAGGAAUACCCCCGGCCUUUGCAUCUGGACGAUGCAUACGGCCACUUUAUUGAUUAUAACACAAGACCUUACAAAGUCGUACAACAGUAAGACCAAAGCCACCGUCUUCGCAACCUCUGUCGCUACUCCUAUCUAACUGAUGAAGGGGCGCUGAUGGUCUGGGCCUAAUACCAAACAGACCUCGCAGCCAAACCUAACAUCUGAGACCUGAGGUCCCAACCAGGACUCCUUCCGGGUAUGGGCACCCACCAGUCCGGCGUGCUCUUCAACCAGGCCCCCUGCCGGGUAUGAGGCCGCCGCAGCCACGUACCAUCAAUCCAUCUUCAGAGCUGUACUGUUGCAUGAACCGUGCUAGGCCUCUCUGCCAUCGACGCC
rnacentral:lncRNA from 1 species